AGGGUUAUAGUUAAUUAUAACAUUUGAUUUGCAAUCAAAAAUUAUUGUUCUACAAUUUACCUUG
rnacentral:tRNA from 1 species